rnacentral:rRNA from 1 species
UUAAGUUAUUAAGGGCGCACGGUGGAUGCCUUGGCACUAGAAGCCGAUGAAGGACGUUACUAACGACGAUAUGCUUUGGGGAGCUGUAAGUAAGCUUUGAUCCAGAGAUUUCCGAAUGGGGAAACCCAGCAUGAGUUAUGUCAUGUUAUCGAUAUGUGAAUACAUAGCAUAUCAGAAGGCACACCCGGAGAACUGAAACAUCUUAGUACCCGGAGGAAGAGAAAGAAAAUUCGAUUCCCUUAGUAGCGGCGAGCGAAACGGGAAGAGCCCAAACCAACAAGCUUGCUUGUUGGGGUUGUAGGACACUCUAUACGGAGUUACAAAGGACGACAUUAGACGAAUCAUCUGGAAAGAUGAAUCAAAGAAGGUAAUAAUCCUGUAGUCGAAAAUGUUGUCUCUCUUGAGUGGAUCCUGAGUACGACGGAGCACGUGAAAUUCCGUCGGAAUCUGGGAGGACCAUCUCCUAAGGCUAAAUACUCUCUAGUGACCGAUAGUGAACCAGUACCGUGAGGGAAAGGUGAAAAGCACCCCGGAAGGGGAGUGAAAUAGAACCUGAAACCGUGUGCUUACAAGUAGUCAGAGCCCGUUAAUGGGUGAUGGCGUGCCUUUUGUAGAAUGAACCGGCGAGUUACGAUUUGAUGCAAGGUUAAGCAGUAAAUGUGGAGCCGUAGCGAAAGCGAGUCUGAAUAGGGCGUUUAGUAUUUGGUCGUAGACCCGAAACCAGGUGAUCUACCCUUGGUCAGGUUGAAGUUCAGGUAACACUGAAUGGAGGACCGAACCGACUUACGUUGAAAAGUGAGCGGAUGAACUGAGGGUAGCGGAGAAAUUCCAAUCGAACCUGGAGAUAGCUGGUUCUCUCCGAAAUAGCUUUAGGGCUAGCCUCAAGUGAUGAUUAUUGGAGGUAGAGCACUGUUUGGACGAGGGGCCCCUCUCGGGUUACCGAAUUCAGACAAACUCCGAAUGCCAAUUAAUUUAACUUGGGAGUCAGAACAUGGGUGAUAAGGUCCGUGUUCGAAAGGGAAACAGCCCAGACCACCAGCUAAGGUCCCAAAAUAUAUGUUAAGUGGAAAAGGAUGUGGCGUUGCCCAGACAACUAGGAUGUUGGCUUAGAAGCAGCCAUCAUUUAAAGAGUGCGUAAUAGCUCACUAGUCGAGUGACACUGCGCCGAAAAUGUACCGGGGCUAAACAUAUUACCGAAGCUGUGGAUUGUCCUUUGGACAAUGGUAGGAGAGCGUUCUAAGGGCGUUGAAGCAUGAUCGUAAGGACAUGUGGAGCGCUUAGAAGUGAGAAUGCCGGUGUGAGUAGCGAAAGACGGGUGAGAAUCCCGUCCACCGAUUGACUAAGGUUUCCAGAGGAAGGCUCGUCCGCUCUGGGUUAGUCGGGUCCUAAGCUGAGGCCGACAGGCGUAGGCGAUGGAUAACAGGUUGAUAUUCCUGUACCACCUAUAAUCGUUUUAAUCGAUGGGGGGACGCAGUAGGAUAGGCGAAGCGUGCGAUUGGAUUGCACGUCUAAGCAGUAAGGCUGAGUAUUAGGCAAAUCCGGUACUCGUUAAGGCUGAGCUGUGAUGGGGAGAAGACAUUGAGUCUUCGAGUCGUUGAUUUCACACUGCCGAGAAAAGCCUCUAGAUAGAAAAUAGGUGCCCGUACCGCAAACCGACACAGGUAGUCAAGAUGAGAAUUCUAAGGUGAGCGAGCGAACUCUCGUUAAGGAACUCGGCAAAAUGACCCCGUAACUUCGGGAGAAGGGGUGCUCUUUAGGGUUAACGCCCAGAAGAGCCGCAGUGAAUAGGCCCAAGCGACUGUUUAUCAAAAACACAGGUCUCUGCUAAACCGUAAGGUGAUGUAUAGGGGCUGACGCCUGCCCGGUGCUGGAAGGUUAAGAGGAGUGGUUAGCUUCUGCGAAGCUACGAAUCGAAGCCCCAGUAAACGGCGGCCGUAACUAUAACGGUCCUAAGGUAGCGAAAUUCCUUGUCGGGUAAGUUCCGACCCGCACGAAAGGCGUAACGAUUUGGGCACUGUCUCAACGAGAGACUCGGUGAAAUCAUAGUACCUGUGAAGAUGCAGGUUACCCGCGACAGGACGGAAAGACCCCGUGGAGCUUUACUGUAGCCUGAUAUUGAAAUUCGGCACAGCUUGUACAGGAUAGGUAGGAGCCUUUGAAACGUGAGCGCUAGCUUACGUGGAGGCGCUGGUGGGAUACUACCCUAGCUGUGUUGGCUUUCUAACCCGCACCACUUAUCGUGGUGGGAGACAGUGUCAGGCGGGCAGUUUGACUGGGGCGGUCGCCUCCUAAAAGGUAACGGAGGCGCUCAAAGGUUCCCUCAGAAUGGUUGGAAAUCAUUCAUAGAGUGUAAAGGCAUAAGGGAGCUUGACUGCGAGACCUACAAGUCGAGCAGGGUCGAAAGACGGACUUAGUGAUCCGGUGGUUCCGCAUGGAAGGGCCAUCGCUCAACGGAUAAAAGCUACCCCGGGGAUAACAGGCUUAUCUCCCCCAAGAGUUCACAUCGACGGGGAGGUUUGGCACCUCGAUGUCGGCUCAUCGCAUCCUGGGGCUGUAGUCGGUCCCAAGGGUUGGGCUGUUCGCCCAUUAAAGCGGUACGCGAGCUGGGUUCAGAACGUCGUGAGACAGUUCGGUCCCUAUCCGUCGUGGGCGUAGGAAAUUUGAGAGGAGCUGUCCUUAGUACGAGAGGACCGGGAUGGACAUACCUCUGGUGUACCAGUUGUCGUGCCAACGGCAUAGCUGGGUAGCUAUGUGUGGACGGGAUAAGUGCUGAAAGCAUCUAAGCAUGAAGCCCCCCCUCAAGAUGAGAUUUCCCAACUUCGGUUAUAAGAUCCCUCAAAGAUGAUGAGGUUAAUAGGUUCGAGGUGGAAGCAUGGUGACAUGUGGAGCUGACGAAUACUAAUCGAUCGAAGACUUAAUCAA